UUGGGGAGCCUGCUGGUUUUAUUUCCUGGUAAUGAGGCCUUUCAUUUGUUUUUGAGUCUUUAUUUAGGAGCGUGCCUUUUAUAUUUUUCUAAUUUUGUACAUAUGUAUGUUUCGUCACCAUCGGAACAAAUAAUAAUCUGCUUUAACUGGCUGACCAAGAGGUCAAGAGAGAGCUGACCUUGGACCAAGAGAACAUCAGAUAUGGGGGAGGAGAGCGCCACAUGGGGAGAGAUGGAGUGGUGGACAAUGAAAGCACUUUGCAGGCCCUGAGUGGAGCACCAAUCAACUCCAUCUAUUGGCAGUCCCAGUGGACCACAAACCUGAUGCCUUAUCAAAGGAAUUGAUAGAAAGAACAUGGCACAAACACAACUGAAUCAUAGAGGUUGGAGACGCAAGCCCAGACAUCUCUCUCUCUCUCUCCCUCUCAUCUUGUUUCUGGCCCAUGGUAGUGAGGUAUUCUGGGCUCAGGGAUAUGAGUCACCAUCCAGAGGAUGCUGCAUGACGUAGCGAACAACCUCUCUUCAAUCACGACAGCAAUCGGUCUAAUUGGAGUGCUGAUGGUCAUAACAUAAUCCAACUCUGGAAGGUUGUCCUUUACAACACUGGUAACAGACAAACCAUCUAAUCCUCCAACAAUGUACUGGGCCAUCUGGCUCAGACAAUCAACUAAUAUUGGCAUAGCUGGACCUGGAAGUCUUCAGCAGUCCAACCACCUUCUCCUGACCCUGCUGUUUGUUUUGCGCGACACAGAGGGUGAUUUGGGCCAGGACAUAGUACAGUCUGCGGUGUACCUAACAAGCUGGAUAGGAAGCCUAUGGGACUGCCUGUCUUUUUGCAGACUAGUAUUGGCUGCAAAUGAUGAUUGUGUAAAUCUUGGGCUACGUGUGUGUGAAUGCACAAGGUUGAGCACACAUUGGUGAAUAAGAAAGCCAAACACCAAGAUUGAGGCAGGCCUGGCUAACAAGCUGUGCUGUGCUAAGAGGCUCAGAACAAAACUCUUGUUGUUGGCUUUCCAGAUGGAUCCUGGUGGAUGGACAAUGGAUGAUGCCUGAUAGGACAGCUAGGUCUGAGUACAGCCAACACCCCCCCCCCCCCCCCCAUGUAGCCACUAUAGCCAGCUCUGAUCCUGCAACCUGGCCAGAUUCAGGCCUGGGACCACUAGGGGAUCUGACUCCCUUCAUUAUCUGUGGCUUCUCUAUCUCAAACUAGGCCUGUGUUAUGAGCUACUGCUGUUGCUGCUGUUCCUGUUGCCACGGUUUCUGUCUCUGGUAGCCUGCCUCUUCCUCUGACAGAACAGUUUCCAGGUAGCAAGCUAACACAAGCCAGCUAGAAUCAAAGGAACAUGAGGAAUCACGGGUUGGCGUGUGGUAUGAAUGCUUGUUUCAAUCUGCCAUCUCUUUAUCUCUUAUUUUUUUUAUCUUCUUCCUACUUGCUCUCAGCCACUGUCUCUGUCUGUCUCUCUCUCAGCCACUCUGUCUGUCUCUCUCUUAGCUGC